rnacentral:rRNA from 1 species
AGGAAAAGAAACCAACAGGGAUUGCCUCAGUAACGGCGAGUGAAGCGGCAACAGCUCAAAUUUGAAAUCUGGCGCCUUGUGCGCCCGAGUUGUAAUUUGUAGAGGAUGUUUCGGGUGCGGCACCGAUCUAAGUUCCUUGGAACAGGGCGUCAUAGAGGGUGAGAAUCCCGUAUGUGACCGGUCGCCUAUCCCAUGUGAAACUCCUUCGACGAGUCGAGUUGUUUGGGAAUGCAGCUCAAAAUGGGUGGUAUAUUUCAUCUAAAGCUAAAUAUUGGCCAGAGACCGAUAGCGCACAAGUAGAGUGAUCGAAAGAUGAAAAGCACUUUGGAAAGAGAGUUAAAAAGUACGUGAAAUUGUUGAAAGGGAAGCGCUUGCGACCAGACUCGCCCGGGGGUGAUCAACCGUCCUUUUGGGCGGUGCACUUUCCCUCGGGCGGGCCAGCAUCGGUUCGGGCGGCUGGAUAAAGGCUUCGGGAAUGUAGCUCCUCUCGGGGAGUGUUAUAGCCCGGGGUGCAAUGCAGCCAGUCUGGACCGAGGACCGCGCUUUUGCUAGGAUGCUGGCGUAAUGGUCGUCAGCGACCCGUCUUGAAACACGGACCAAGGAGUUAACCACCGGUGCGAGUGUUUGGGUGUCAAACCCGUACGCGUAAUGAAAGUGAACGGAGGUGAGAACCCCUUUCGGGGCGCAUCAUCGACCGAUCCUGAUGUCUUCGGAUGGAUUUGAGUAAGAGCACCGUUGGUUUGACCCGAAAGAUGGUGAUCUUUACGCGGAUAGGGUGAAGCCAGAGGAAACUCUGGUGGA